AGGACGAACGCCGGCGGCGCGCUUAACACAUGCAAGUCGAGCGAGAACCUUUCCUUCGGGAUUGGGGACAGCGGCGAACGGGUGAGUAACACGUGGGUAAUCUGCCCUUGACAUCGGGAUAGCCCGGGGAAACCCGGAUUAAUACCGAAUAGCCUCCGGAGCCCUCGGGCGCCGGAGAAAAGGUAGCUUCGGCCUCUGGUCAAGGAUGAGCCCGCGGCGGAUUAGCUUGUUGGCGGGGUAAUGGCCCACCAAGGCGACGAUCCGUAGCUGGUCUGAGAGGACGAUCAGCCACACUGGGACUGAGACACGGCCCAGACUCCUACGGGAGGCAGCAGUGGGGAAUCUUGCGCAAAUGCGGGAAACCGUGACGCAGCGACGCCGCGUGGGGGAAGAAGGCCUUUGGGUUGUAAACCCCUUUCAGCAGGGACGAAACUGACGGUACCUGCAGAAGAAGCCCCGGCAACUACGUGCCAGCAGCCGC
rnacentral:rRNA from 1 species